UAAAGUUGUUGCAGUUAAAAAGCUCGUAGUGGAAUUGCGGGAUUAGUACGUUGGUCGUGCCUUCGGUACGUACUGGUGUUACUGAUUCCUACCUUCUGACGAACCAUCAUGUCAUUAAAUUUGGUGUGGCGGGGAAUCAGGACUGUUACUUUGAAAAAAUAAGAGUGUUUAAAGCAGGCUCGCGCUUGAAUACAUUAGCAUGGAAUAAUGAAAUANGACGUUGAUCCUAUUUUGUUGGUUUUUAGGAUUGACGUAAUGAUUAAUAGGG
rnacentral:rRNA from 1 species